rnacentral:hammerhead_ribozyme from 1 species
GCACUGCUGAGGAGUCCCAUGUUAGGACGAAACGGCCGUUCAGUGC